GACGAACGCUGGCGGCGUGCUUAACACAUGCAAGUCGAACGGAAAGGCCCUGCUUUUGUGGGGUGCUCGAGUGGCGAACGGGUGAGUAACACGUGAGUAACCUGCCCUUGACUUUGGGAUAACUUCAGGAAACUGGGGCUAAUACCGGAUAGGAGCUCCUGCUGCAUGGUGGGGGUUGGAAAGUUUCGGCGGUUGUGGAUGGACUCGCGGCUUAUCAGCUUGUUGGUGGGGUAGUGGCUUACCAAGGCUUUGACGGGUAGCCGGCCUGAGAGGGUGACCGGCCACAUUGGGACUGAGAUACGGCCCAGACUACUACGGGAGGCAGCAGUGGGGAAUAUUGCACAAUGGGCGGAAGCCUGAUGCAGCAACGCCGCGUGCGGGAUGACGGCCUUCGGGUUGUAAACCGCUUCCGCCUGUGACGAAGCGUGAGUGACGGUAAUGGGUAAAGAAGCACCGGCUAACUACGUG
rnacentral:rRNA from 1 species